CCCUUAGAUGUUCUGGGCUGCACGCGUGUUACAAUCGGGAGUACAACAAGAUUGCAAAUCCUAGUGGAGGAGUGGUUCUUCGAAAUUUUCUGAAGACUGGGAUAGUUGAUUGAAAUUAUUCAACUCGAACGAGGAAUUCCUUGUAAUUGUAAUUCAUUAUAUUGUAAUGAAUACGUCCCUGCCCUUUGUACACACCGCCCGUCGCUCCUACCGAUUGAACGAUCCGGUGAAUUAUUUGGAGUAGCUCUGGAAGUUGCAGAACUUCCUAUGUCACGAAAUUUUGUAAACCUUAUCGUUUAGAGGAAGGAAAAGUCGUAACA
rnacentral:rRNA from 1 species